rnacentral:tRNA from 1 species
GGGCAUAUAGCUUAGUGGUAGAGUGCUUGCCUGGCAUGCAUGAAGCCCUGGGUUCAAUUCCUCAGUACCA